AGAGAAUAGAUACCCUGGUAGUCCCAGCCGUAAACGAUGCUCGCUAGGUGUCAGGCAUGGCGCGACCGUGUCUGGUGCCGCAGGGAAGCCGUGAAGCGAGCCACCUGGGAAGUACGGCCGCAAGGCUGAAACUUAAAGGAAUUGGCGGGGGAGCACAACAACGGGUGGAGCCUGCGGUUUAAUUGGACUCAACGCCGGACAACUCACCGGGGGCGACAGCAAUAUGUAGGCCAAGCUGAAGACUUUGCCUGAAUCGCUGAGAGGAGGUGCAUGGCCGUCGCCAGUUCGUACUGUGAAGCAUCCUGUUAAGUCAGGCAACGAGCGAGACCCGUGCCCACUGUUACCAGCAUGUCCUGGUACGGAU
rnacentral:rRNA from 1 species